rnacentral:rRNA from 1 species
GACGAACGUUGGCGGCGUGCCUAAUACAUGCAAGUCGAGCGAGCGGAACUAACAGAUUUACUUCGGUAAUGACGUUAGGAAAGCGAGCGGCGGAUGGGUGAGUAACACGUGGGGAACCUGCCCCAUAGUCUGGGAUACCACUUGGAAACAGGUGCUAAUACCGGAUAAGAAAGCAGAUCGCAUGAUCAGCUUUUAAAAGGCGGCGUAAGCUGUCGCUAUGGGAUGGCCCCGCAGUGCAUUAGCUAGUUGGUAAGGUAAAGGCUUACCAAGGCGAUGAUGCAUAGCCGAGUUGAGAGACUGAUCGGCCACAUUGGGACUGAGACACGGCCCAAACUCCUACGGGAGGCAGCAGUAGGGAAUCUUCCACAAUGGACGCAAGUCUGAUGGAGCAACGCCGCGUGAGUGAAGAAGGUUUUCGGAUCGUAAAGCUCUGUUGUUGGUGAAGAAGGAUAGAGGUAGUAACUGGCCUUUAUUUGACGGUAAUCAACCAGAAAGUCACGGCUAACUACGUGCCAGCAGCCGCGGUAAUACGUAGGUGGCAAGCGUUGUCCGGAUUUAUUGGGCGUAAAGCGAGCGCAGGCGGAAGAAUAAGUCUGAUGUGAAAGCCCUCGGCUUAACCGAGGAACUGCAUCGGAAACUGUUUUUCUUGAGUGCAGAAGAGGAGAGUGGAACUCCAUGUGUAGCGGUGGAAUGCGUAGAUAUAUGGAAGAACACCAGUGGCGAAGGCGGCUCUCUGGUCUGCAACUGACGCUGAGGCUCGAAAGCAUGGGUAGCGAACAGGAUUAGAUACCCUGGUAGUCCAUGCCGUAAACGAUGAGUGCUAAGUGCUGGGAGGUUUCCGCCUCUCAGUGCUGCAGCUAACGCAUUAAGCACUCCGCCUGGGGAGUACGACCGCAAGGUUGAAACUCAAAGGAAUUGACGGGGGCCCGCACAAGCGGUGGAGCAUGUGGUUUAAUUCGAAGCAACGCGAAGAACCUUACCAGGUCUUGACAUCUAGUGCCAUUUGUAGAGAUACAAAGUUCCCUUCGGGGACGCUAAGACAGGUGGUGCAUGGCUGUCGUCAGCUCGUGUCGUGAGAUGUUGGGUUAAGUCCCGCAACGAGCGCAACCCUUGUUAUUAGUUGCCAGCAUUAAGUUGGGCACUCUAAUGAGACUGCCGGUGACAAACCGGAGGAAGGCGGGGAUGACGUCAAGUCAUCAUGCCCCUUAUGACCUGGGCUACACACGUGCUACAAUGGGCAGUACAACGAGAAGCGAGCCUGCGAAGGCAAGCGAAUCUCUGAAAGCUGUUCUCAGUUCGGACUGCAGUCUGCAACUCGACUGCACGAAGCUGGAAUCGCUAGUAAUCGCGGAUCAGCACGCCGCGGUGAAUACGUUCCCGGGCCU